rnacentral:rRNA from 1 species
UGAACGCUGGCGGUAUGCUUAACACAUGCAAGUCGAACGGAAACGAUACUAGCUUGCUAGUAGGCGUCGAGUGGCGGACGGGUGAGUAACGCGUAGGAAUCUGCCUGAUAGUGGGGGAUAGCCCGAAGAAAUUCGGAUUAAUACCGCAUAAUCUAUUCGUAGUAAAGUGGGGGACUUUCGAGCCUCACGCUAUCAGAUGAGCCUGCGUAAGAUUAGCUUGUUGGUAGGGUAAAAGCCUACCAAGGCGACGAUCUUUAGCUGGUCUGAGAGGAUGAUCAGCCACAUCGGGACUGAGACCCGGCCCGAACUCCUACGGGAGGCAGCAGUGGGGAAUAUUGGACAAUGGGGGCAACCCUGAUCCAGCAAUACCGCGUGUGUGAAGAAGGCCUGAGGGUUGUAAAGCACUUUCAAUUGUGAAGAAAAGUUAGCGGUUAAUAACCGUUAGCCUUGACGUUAACUUUAGAAGAAGCACCGGCUAACUCCGUGCCCAGCAGCCGCGGUAAUACGGAGGGUGCAAGCGUUAAUCGGAAUUACUGGGCGUAAAGCGUGCGUAGGCGGUUUAUUAAGUCAGAUGUGAAAGCCCCGGGCUUAACCUGGGAACUGCAUUUGAAACUGGUCAACUAGAGUAUGGUAGAGGAAAGUGGAAUUUCUGGUGUAGCGGUGAAAUGCGUAGAUAUCAGAAGGAACAUCAAUGGCGAAAGGCAGCUUUCUGGACCAAUACUGACGCUGAGGUACGAAAGCGUGGGUAGCAAACAGGAUUAGAUACCCUGGUAGUCCACGCCGUAAACGAUGAUAACUAGCCGUUGGGGGGAUUUACCCUUUAGUGGCGAAGCUAACGCGUUAAGUUAUCCGCCUGGGGAGUACGGCCGCAAGGUUAAAACUCAAAGGAAUUGACGGGGACCCGCACAAGCGGUGGAGCAUGUGGUUUAAUUCGAUGCAACGCGAAGAACCUUACCUGGUCUUGACAUCCUGCGAACUUUCUAGAAAUAGAUUGGUGCCUUCGGGAACGCAGUGACAGGUGCUGCAUGGCUGUCGUCAGCUCGUGUCGUGAGAUGUUGGGUUAAGUCCCGUAACGAGCGCAACCCCUAUCCUUAUUUGCCAGCACAUCAUGGUGGGAACUAUAAGGAGACUGCCGGUGAUAAACCGGAGGAAGGCGGGGACGACGUCAAGUCAUCAUGGCCCUUACGACCAGGGCUACACACGUGCUACAAUGGGAAGGACAAAGAGCCGCGAAGCCGCGAGGUGUAGCUAAUCUCAUAAACCUUUUCGUAGUCCGGAUUGGAGUCUGCAACUCGACUCCAUGAAGUCGGAAUCGCUAGUAAUCGUAGAUCAGAAUGCUACGGUGAAUACGUUCCCGGGUCUUGUACUCACCGCC